UACGAACUGUGCGAACGUUAUUCGGAAUCACUGGGCUUAAAGGGUGCGUAGGCGGCUUCGUAAGUCAGGUGUGAAAUCUCCCGGCUCAACCGGGAAAUGGCGCUUGAAACUGCGAGGCUCGAGUGAGGUAGGGGUGUGUGGAACUUCCGGUGGAGCGGUGAAAUGUGUAGAUAUCGGAAGGAACGCCUGUGGCGAAAGCGACACACUGGGCCUUGUCUGACGCUGAGGCACGAAAGCCAGGGGAGCGAACGGG
rnacentral:rRNA from 1 species